rnacentral:rRNA from 1 species
GUCUUCAUGAUUAUAUAUGAAGUCUGGCCUGCCCACUGAUACGUUUAAUGGCCGCAGUAUUUUGACUGUGCUAAGGUAGCAUAAUCAUUAGUUUCUUAAUUAGAAGCUGGAAUGAAGGGUUGGAUAAAAAAACAACUGUUUCUUUUUAAUUGUUUUAGAAUUUUAUUUUUAAGUUAAAAAGCUUAAAUUUUAUUUAGGGACGAGAAGACCCUAUAGAGUUUAAUAUUUUUUUUAUAAUAUAAUUUUAGUAUUAACUAUUUUAUAAAAAAUUUAUUUGGUUGGGGUGACUAUAUAAUUUAAUAAACUUAUAUUUUUUUAUUCAAUAAUUAUUGUAUUUUUGAUCCAAAAAAAUGAUUAAAAGAUCAAAUUACCUUAGGGAUAACAGCGUUAUUUUUUUUAGAGUUCAUAUCAAAAAAAAAGAUUGCGACCUCGAUGUUGGAUUAGAAUUAAUAAUUGGUGUAGGAGCUAAUUAAUUAAGUCUGUUCGACUUUUAAAA